rnacentral:rRNA from 1 species
AUGAACGCUGGCGGCGUGCCUAAUACAUGCAAGUCGAGCGAACAGAUGAGGAGCUUGCUCCUCUGACGUUAGCGGCGGACGGGUGAGUAACACGUGGAUAACCUACCUAUAAGACUGGGAUAACUUCGGGAAACCGGAGCUAAUACCGGAUAAUAUAUUGAACCGCAUGGUUCAAUAGUGAAAGACGGUUUUGCUGUCACUUAUAGAUGGAUCCGCGCCGCAUUAGCUAGUUGGUAAGGUAACGGCUUACCAAGGCGACGAUGCGUAGCCGACCUGAGAGGGUGAUCGGCCACACGGGAACUGAGACACGGUCCAGACUCCUACGGGAGGCAGCAGUAGGGAAUCUUCCGCAAUGGGCGAAAGCCUGACGGAGCAACGCCGCGUGAGUGAUGAAGGUCUUCGGAUCGUAAAACUCUGUUAUUAGGGAAGAACAAAUGUGUAAGUAACUAUGCACGUCUUGACGGUACCUAAUCAGAAAGCCACGGCUAACUACGUG